UCAGAAGUGUGCUCUUCCUAUUAUACCCAAAUUUACCAGGAGAUUUGGAUAGGAAUGGGGUUGAUGGGCUUCAUCAUUUAUAAAAUCAGGAGUGAUGAUAAAAGAAGUAAAAACUUCGAGUCCUGCACCUGUUCA